UGGAGCAUGUGGUUCAAUUCGACGCAACGCGAAGAACCUUACCCAGGCUUGAACAGCGAGUGACCAGCGACGAAAGUUGCCUUCCGCAAGGACACUCGUAGAGGUGCUGCAUGGCUGUCGUCAGCUCGUGUCGUGAGAUGUUGGGUUAAGUCCCGCAACGAGCGCAACCCUUGUUUGCUGUUGCCAUCACGUUAUGGUGGGCACUCUGCAAAGACUGCCGGUGAUAAACCGGAGGAAGGUGGGGAUGACGUCAAGUCAGCAUGGCCUUUAUGUCUGGGGCUACACACGUGCUACAAUGGCCGGUACAAACCGUCGCAAAACCGCAAGGUGAAGCUAAUCGGAUAAAGCCGGUCUCAGUUCGGAUAGCAGGCUGCAACUCGCCUGCUUGAAGUUGGAAUCGCUAGUAAUCGCGGAUCAGCACGCCGCGGUGAAUACGUUCCCGGGCCUUGUACACACCGCCCGUCACAUCACGAAAGCCGGUUGUACUAGAAGUC
rnacentral:rRNA from 1 species